rnacentral:rRNA from 1 species
GGUAUGGGAUGAGCUUGCGUCCGAUUAGCUAGUUGGCGGGGCAACGGCCCACCAAGGCGACGAUCGGUAGCCGGCCUGAGAGGGUGAUCGGCCACAUUGGGACUGAGAUACGGCCCAGACUCCUACGGGAGGCAGCAGUAGGGAAUAUUGCACAAUGGGGGAAACCCUGAUGCAGCAACGCCACGUGUGGGAAGAAGCAUUUCGGUGUGUAAACCACUGUCGUGAGGGAAUAAGGCUAUUUUUCGGAGUAGUUGAAUGUACCUCGAGAGGAAGCGCCGGCAAACUUCGUGCCAGCAGCCGCGGUAAUACGAGGGGUGCAAGCGUUGUUCGGAAUCACUGGGCGUAAAGGGAGCGCAGGCGGAAGCUCAAGCGGAUUGUACAAUACCGGGGCCCAACCCCGGACCUGCAGUCCGAACUGGGUUUCUUGGAUAGUUCAGGGGCAGGC